rnacentral:rRNA from 1 species
UACAGAGGUCCCAAGCGUUGUUCGGAUUCAUUGGGCGUAAAGGGUGCGUAGGCGGCGCGGUAAGUCGGGUGUGAAAUUUCGGAGCUUAACUCCGAAACUGCAUUCGAUACUGCCGUGCUUGAGGACUGGAGAGGAGACUGGAAUUUACGGUGUAGCAGUGAAAUGCGUAGAGAUCGUAAGGAAGACCAGUGGCGAAGGCGGGUCUCUGGACAGUUCCUGACACUGAGGCACGAAGGCCAGGGGAGCAAACGGG